AUCGAACGCUGGCGGCAUGCCUUACACAUGCAAGUCGAACGGUAACAGGUCUUCGGAUGCUGACGAGUGGCGAACGGGUGAGUAAUACAUCGGAACGUGCCCAGUAAUGGGGGAUAGCGCGGCGAAAGCCGGAUUAAUACCGCAUACGCCCUGAGGGGGAAAGUGGGGGACCGCAAGGCCUCACGUUAUUGGAGCGGCCGAUGGCUGAUUAUCUAGUUGGUGAGGUAAAGGCUCACCAAGGCGACGAUUAGUAGCUGGUCUGAGAGGACGAUCAGCCACACUGGGACUGAGACACGGCCCAGACUCCUACGGGAGGCAGCAGUGGGGAAUUUUGGACAAUGGGGGAAACCCUGAUCCAGCAAUGCCGCGUGUGCGAAGAAGGCCUUCGGGUUGUAAAGCACUUUUGUCAGGGAAGAAAUCCUUUGGGCUAAUACCCUAGGGGGAUGACGGUACCUGAAGAAUAAGCACCGGCUAACUACGUGCCAGCCGCCGCAGUAACAC
rnacentral:rRNA from 1 species